rnacentral:rRNA from 1 species
AUUGAACGCUGGCGGCAGGCUUAACACAUGCAAGUCGAGCGGAGAGAGGUAGCUUGCUACUGAUCUUAGCGGCGGACGGGUGAGUAAUGCUUAGGAAUCUGCCUAUUAGUGGGGGACAACAUUUCGAAAGUAAUGCUAAUACCGCAUACGUCCUACGGGAGAAAGCAGGGGAUCUUCGGACCUUGCGCUAAUAGAUGAGCCUAAGUCGGAUUAGCUAGUUGGUGGGGUAAAGGCCUACCAAGGCGACGAUCUGUAGCGGGUCUGAGAGGAUGAGCCGCCACACUGGGACUGAGACACGGCCCAGACUCCUACGGGAGGCAGCAGUGGGGAAUAUUGGACAAUGGGCGGAUGCCUGAUCUAGCCAUGCCGCGUGUGUGAAGAAGGCCUUAUGGUUGUAAAGCACUUUAAGCGAGGAGGAGGCUACUUUAGUUAAUACCUAGAGAUAGUGGACGUUACUCGCAGAAUAAGCACCGGCUAACUCUGUGCCAGCCGCCGCCGUAAGAC